ACAGGCUGGUUGGCGAUGAUGUCGUAGGACUCCAUGGCCGGGCCGCGCCGGCCCUGCCCAGCAGGCGGGCUGCAGGAGGCACCGGAUGGGCGGGCGGGCGGGAGGACCGGGACGGCGGCGGCUCCCGACGCGGCGCCGCUGCCCUCCCUCCCCGAGCCUGCAGCCUACGCGAGCCCCGCGGGGCUUUCUGGAGGGCGGGCCCGGCGGCCAAUCAUCGCUCCCACCUGGCCCGAUUGACAGCAGGUGCCCGGGGCUGGCUGCGCGAAGGGGGCGGGGCCUCCGGAGGCUGGCCAGCCAAUUGAGGUCGUCCGGAAAAAAGUGGUCGCGGCGUUGCCAAGGCUCCUGUUUUCCUAAUAGCAUGAACAGCCCCCCCGUCAGCUCCUACCCCUUGGUCUCUGACCUGUUCCUCCUCCGAGGUGACCUCUAUCCUGAAUUUUGAAAACAUAUUAGUAUUGCCUGUUUCUGGACUUUGUGCAGAUGAAGUCAUUGGUAUGUAUUCAUUUGCAUCUAGUGUUUAUACAUUCAUAAAAUAGAUCACUGUGUAGCCAUUAAAAAUAAUGAGAGAGUGCUAUAUAAUUUCAUAUGAAACAUAUCAGGACACAUUGCUAAGUAAAAGCAAAGAGAAAGCAGACACCGAGUGUAGACUGUUAUAUGCAUGAAUGUCUCUGAACAGUAUAUGAGGCACCUUCAGGUCUCUUUUUUAUUUUUUUUUUUUUUGAGACAAUCUUUCUCUGUUGCCCAGGCUGGAGUGCAGUGGCGCAAUCUGGGCUCACUGCAACCUCCACCUGUCGGGUUCAGGCAAUUCUCCUGGCUCAGCCUCCCUAGUAGCUGGGAUCACAGGUUCCCGCCACCAUGCCCAGCUAAGUUUUUUUUUUUUUUUUUUUUGAGAUGGAGUCUCACUCUGUCACCCAGGCUGGAGUGCAGUGGUGCGGUCUCGGCUCACUGCAAGCUCCGCCUCCCGGGUUCAUGCCAUUCUCCUGCCUCAGCCUCCCGAGUAGCUGGGACUACAGGCGCCCACCACCACGCCUGGCUAAUUUUUUGUAUUUUUAGUAGAGAUGGGGUUUCACCGUGUUAGCCAGGAUGAUCUCGAUCUCCUGACCUUGUGAUCUGCCUGCCUCGGCCUCCCAAAAUGCUGGGAUUACAGGUGUGAGCCACCGUGCCUGGCCCCAAAGAUGAUUGUCUUAUAAAAGCCUAUGUAACCCUUUUCAUUUUUUCUUUAAAAAAUGUCUUCCUUUACCUCCUGGAACACAUCCAUACUUAUUCCCAUUGUAAUGCCCGUUCCUGAAUAAACAUCAUUGUUUUUUUAGAGAGGGAGAGAGAGUCCAUUGGUGAGAGAGUCUCACCAAUCUCCUGUCCCCAGGGCACUUCCACCCCUGGGUAUUUGUACUGAUCAACCAGGUUACGCUUUCAGCAUUUGCAAACUCAGGAUGGAGAUUUUAGACCCUCUUCAACCUCCAGGUUUCCUCUUUGCAAAGGCCAGCAGCAGAAGCAAAAGAGAUGGAGCCCGGGUUAGCAUUUAUUUUUCUAUUUACCAGUCAUUUGGAAUUUGGACAUUUUCUGUCCUGUGGUUGUGGUGAGGGUGUGGGUUUUGUGUUGUUUUAUAUAUUCUUUGUUAUUUUUUAUUCUAGUUUUUGUUUUUGUUUUGGAAGGUAUUUUAGAGAAAUAAGAUUUCUGUGGUUACCAUGACCUGCUGUUACAGAUUACAUGGUACCCUCUCUUCAUAUGUUGAAGUCCUAGCCACCCCGCCGAACCUCAGAAUGUGACUGUAUUUGGAGAUAGGGUCUUUACAGAGGAAAUCAAGUUAAAAUGAAGUCAUUAGGGCAGGCCCUAAUCCGAUAUGAUCCUGUGUUCUUAGAAGAGGAAAUGUGGACUCAGGUGUGUAUGGAGGGAAGAUGUCUUGCAAGCCCAAGGAGAAGAUGGCCAUCUGAGCCCACGUCCUGGAACAGAGACUUCCCUCACAGCCUCAGAAAGAACCAGCCCUGCUGACGUCUUGAUCUCAGACCUCCAGCCUCCAGAACUGGGAGACGAUUCAGUCAGCAUCUACACAACACAGGGUUGAACUGUGCGGGUCCACUUCUAUGCAGAUUAUUUUCUUUUUUCUUUUUUGAGACAGAGUCUCGCCCGGUUGCUCAGGCUGAAGUGUAGUGGUGUGAUCUUGGCUUACUGCAGCUUCCACCUCCCAGGUGCAAGUGAUUCUCCUGCCUCAGCUUCCCAAGUAGCUGGGACUAUGGGUACUCGCCACCACACCUGGCUAAUUUUUGUAUUUUUAGUAGAGAUGGGGUUUCACCAUGUUGGUCAGGCUGGUCUUGAACUCCUGACCCCAAGUGAUCUGCCUGCCUUGGCCUCCCAGAUUGCUGGGAUUACAGGUGUGAGCCACCGUGCCCGGCCCUAUAUAACUCUUUGUGCAAGUUUUUACCCCUAAAAGAUAUCUGCCAUCUCAGCCAUGGAACAGACACUGUAAGAACAUGAAGGCUCAAGGGCAGGGCUGGCUACAUAAUUUGUGGGACCCAUUACAAAAUGAACAUGGAGAAAAAACUAGAAAAAAGUGUAGUACAAGGUACUAUAAUAGAUUUUUCCUUUGAAAACAGUUUAAUACUUAUAAAAUGUAAUAGAGGGAAAUAGUGACACGUGAGUAACAAAAUGGGCGUAUCAAUUGGUCUAUGCUAUUUUUGGUGUUAUAAUUUUACCUAAUAUAAUAAGCAGCAACACUUUGUUAGUGAGACGGGCUUUCACCAUGUUGGCCAGGCUGGUCUGGAACUCCUGACCUCAGGUGAUCCGCCUGCCUCAGCCUUCCAAAGUGCUGGGAUUACAGGUGUGAGCCUCUGCGCCCGGCUGUGAUGUCUUGAUUGAUCAUAGGAUUUUUCUGGCUAUUCUAGCUACUUCCAAUUCGCUUCAGCCAAUUUAGUUGAAGUUUUAUCACUUGUGACUUCAGAGUCCUGGUUAAUAUCCUGUUGCCCUCAGGACAUGCAGGAUGGAGGAAGGCACCAGGGAGCCGAGGGAAGUGAGCAGAGAGGCAGUCACUUCAGGGCCACCAGCAUAGCCCCCGUCACUGUCCACAGACACAGGCCCUUCCCCUUCUCAUGGUUGAGCAGGCUCCACCUCACUUCCGUGUAUGACUUCAUAGACCGUUAGGUUCCGUGGUACCCUGGAGUCCACAGCUGCUGAAUCUGAAGGGCCAUCAGAAGACUGGCUUCUCCAUGAUGGUUUAUGGACUAAGGCAAAGAUGAGCAGAGCCAUGGCCCUCUUCUUUGUUCUCUGCUGGAUCCAAGGGUCGGGGGUCUCCCUAUGUUUCCCAGGCUGGCCUCGAACUCCUGACCUCAAGUGAUCCUCCCACCUCAGCCUCCCCGAGUGCUGGGAUUAAAGACGUGAGCCACGGCACCUGGCCUGAAUUUUCCUCAAAUUCAAAAAAUCCUGAUGAAGGUUUGGCUAAAAUCUUUGGUGAGUUACCCCACUCCCUGUGGAACCUCAGGCUGGAUUUGAAGAGUUGCGUGCAUGGUCCUCAUUGUCUCCCAGGUAACCUGUUCCCGCUGCUGUGAAGGGAAGGCAGGUGCUCUUCCUUGAGGCUAGAAUCUGUCUACGUGUCACAGUCUCAGGAAAUUAAGCAAAACAGAUGAUAAACACCUCAAAAGGACCCUACUGAGCAUCAGUGGAGCAGAGCAGGGCCAUGUGGGACUGCGGCGUCAGAUGCCACCUCACACUAGCUGUGACACACCUGCCUCGCCAGUUUCUGCUCUGAGGCCCCAAAGCCGAGCUGAACCUCCUCCAGGGGUUCUCAGCCCUAACUGAGCAUGAAAACCCCUGGGGCAAUCCUCUUUUUAACAAUUGAGACAUUCCACACACACCCCACAUCAGAUUUUGGGGUGUGGGGAUAGACCUUCACAUUUGUAGUUUUCUAACCCUCCAGGGGACACUAGGCUGAGACUCAUUGGUCUCCACUCUGAACCUUCCACUGAACAUGUGAGAAAAACUAAGGCCCAGGGAAGUCUUUAGCAGAGAGCUGAGACGGAGAAAAGGGUUCUGAACCACAGCUGUCUGCUGAAGGAAGCUGUCCAAAGGCCAGUGAAGUCUCUCCUG
rnacentral:lncRNA from 1 species